rnacentral:tRNA from 1 species
AAGUAAAAAGCGAAUCAUCGCAAUCAGUUUCGACCUGAUCAUUGAUAUAAAAUCUUUACUUU